AGUGAACGCUGGCGGUAGGCCUAACACAUGCAAGUCGAACGGCAGCACAGUAAGAGCUUGCUCUUACGGGUGGCGAGUGGCGGACGGGUGAGGAAUACAUCGGAAUCUACUUUUUCGUGGGGGAUAACGUAGGGAAACUUACGCUAAUACCGCAUACGACCUACGGGUGAAAGCAGGGGAUCUUCGGACCUUGCGCGAUUGAAUGAGCCGAUGUCGGAUUAGCUAGUUGGCGGGGUAAAGGCCCACCAAGGCGACGAUCCGUAGCUGGUCUGAGAGGAUGAUCAGCAACACUGGAACUGAGACACGGUCCAGACUCCUACGGGAGGCAGCAGUGGGGAAUAUUGGACAAGGGGCGCAAGCCUGAUCCAGCCAUACCGCGUGGGUGAAGAAGGCCUUCGGGUUGUAAAGCCCUUUUGUUGGGAAAGAAAAGCAGCAGGUUAAUACCCCGCUGUUCUGACGGUACCCAAAGAAUAAGCACCGGCUAACUUCGUGC
rnacentral:rRNA from 1 species